AUUAAAAUAAAUUAAAAUCCUUAAGAAGGGAUUAAUGGGGGAUUAAGAAGGGUUAAUGGGCCAGGGGUGUAUGGUAACUUGAGAGAGUGUAUCAAGACACUACACUCAAUUGGGGCGGACAGUCCAAUUCUCUCACAACAAAUUCGGAUCCUCCUGGUGAUGAAGAUUCAACUCCUAGAAAACUAAUCUCAGGACGAAAUACUUAGAUAACGGAAGGUCUUAUGACAGAGCAGACAACGACGCGGCUCUCGCACCGACUACGCAUCGCCAUCACGAAUGCGGCUUCGUGAAGAAUGACUCAAAGAGCGGAAUGAAGAGGUUGUGGAAGUUGGAAAUCCGGUUGAUGAAAUUUUGGAUGCUUUGAAGUGCAUGCUUGGAAUCAAUGGGAUUUGAUUGUAGUUACAUAUUUUAUGAAUGUUUGUAAAUUGUUUGAAUGUUUGUAAUCAGAUUUUGAAUAUAUACAUGAUGGUUGCUUGAGAAUGGAAAUCAGAUGGUUUAAAUGUAUGGUAGAAUUAAAUGGUUUAUGAAGUGCAAACUUGAAUUGAAUGUAUAUGUCAUGGCUUAUGAAUAAAAAUGCAAUUUGGCUCA